rnacentral:lncRNA from 1 species
GGAGCGUUUUCCUUCUGUAUUGAUGCUGACCUUUUUCUUCCCCCUCAUUAGCAGAGGCAACAACUAUGCCGCGUUUAGCUGUCCUUUCUCCAAAUGUACCUUCAAUAAAUAAACAAACAUCCAGUCUUGCUUUCUUGCCUCAAAAAGUAAAAGUUUGGAUAAACCAAUGAGAAACUGAAAUCACAGCAGGAUGGAAACAGAUUUACUUUAAGCUGCUCUAUCUGAUGGAAGCUGAAUGCUAAGUGAAUCAUCGUGACUCAGUAAAUAGGAUAAUGGUCUCCCCCUCUGGGAUUUCUGUUCCUGCCAGAGCAAAUAGAAGCCCUACUAAGCCACAGUGAAGUGGAAACCCAGCCUGCUCUUGCUGUGCAGCAGGGCUGCACCUGCACCUUUAUACCUGCUGCAGGUAAAAUACCAUAUGAGCUUGUUCUGGAGGGGUCAAACGUAUACUGUACAUCUACCCCAUGUCUA